rnacentral:rRNA from 1 species
GUAGGGAAUCUUCCGCAAUGGACGAAAGUCUGACGGAGCAACGCCGCGUGAGCGAUGAAGGUUUUCGGAUCGUAAAGCUCUGUUGUUAGGGAAGAAACCGUACCGAUCGAAUAGGUCGGUACCUUGACGGUACCUAACCAGAAAGCCACGGCUAACUACGUGCCAGCAGCCGCGGUAAUACGUAGGUGGCAAGCGUUGUCCGGAAUUAUUGGGCGUAAAGCGCGCGCAGGCGGUUUCUUAAGUCUGAUGUGAAAGCCCACGGCUCAACCGUGGAGGGUCAUUGGAAACUGGGAGACUCCGAGUGCAGAAGAGGAGAGCGGAAUUCCACGUGUAGCGGUGAAAUGCGUAGAUAUGUGGAGGAACACCAGUGGCGAAGGCGGCUCUCUGGUCUGUAACUGACGCUGAGGCGCGAAAGCGUGGGGAGCAAACAGGAUUAGAUACCCGUGUAGUCC